AUUGAACGCUGGCGGCAGGCCUAACACAUGCAAGUCGAACGAGUGGCGGACGGGUGAGUAAUGUCUGGGAAACUGCCUGAUGGAGGGGGAUAACUACUGGAAACGGUAGCUAAUACCGCAUACCAUCAGAUGUGCCCAGAUGGGAUUGGCUAGUAGGUGGGGUAAUGGCUCACCUAGGCGACGAUCCCUAGCUGGUCUGAGAGGAUGCCCAGCCACACUGGAACUGAGACACGGUCAAGAGUCCUACGGGAGGCAGCAGUGGGGAAUAUUGCACAAUGGGCGCAAGCCUGAUACAGCCAUGCCGCGGGUGUGAAGAAGGCCUUCGGGUUGUAAAGCACUUGCAGCGGGGAGGCGUUACCCGCAGAAGAAGCACCGGCUAACUCCGUGCCAGCCGCCGCGGUAAUUC
rnacentral:rRNA from 1 species